rnacentral:rRNA from 1 species
GACGAACGCUGGCGGCGUGCUUAACACAUGCAAGUCGAACGGAAAGGCCCUGCUUUUGUGGGGUGCUCGAGUGGCGAACGGGUGAGUAACACGUGAGUAAACUGCCCUUGUCUUUGGGAUAACUUCAGGAAACUGGGGCUCAUACCGGAUAGGAGCUCCUGCUGCAUGGUGGGCGUUGGAAAGUUUCGGCGGUUGGGGAUGGACUCGCGGCUUAUCCGCUUGUUGGUGGGGUAGUGGCUUACCAAGGCUUUGACGGGUAGCCGGCCUGAGAGGGUGACCGGCCACAUUGGGACUGAGAUACGGCCCAGACUCCUACGGGAGGCAGCAGUGGGGAAUAUUGCACAAUGGGCGGAAGCCUGAUGCAGCAACGCCGCGUGCGGGAUGACGGCCUUCGGGUUGUAAACCGCUUUCGCCUGUGACGAAGCGUGAGUGACGGUAAUGGGUAAAGAAGCACCGGCUAACUACGUG